UUUAUUGAGAGUUUGAUCCUGGCUCAGGACGAACGCUGGCGGCAUGCCUAACACAUGCAAGUCGAGCGAGUGGAGUUCUUCGGAACAAAGCUAGCGGCGGACGGGUGA
rnacentral:rRNA from 1 species